GGAUGAGAGGGCAAUCUGGCUGCAACAACUGUCAUGCCAUUGAUCGCCAGGGUUGAUUCGGCUGAUCUGACUGGCUAAGCAGGUGUCCCUUGCCUCCCUCACCUCUCCAUGUGCAUCCCUCUAGAAACUGCACACUUGGUGGAAGAGGACGACCAUCCCAUAAUAGAAGGAGUGUACCGUUCUUCAGUCAAGGGUAUACAGUAACCAAAACUGCUGGUUAUAUCCAUCACCCUAGUUGGU
rnacentral:snRNA from 1 species